GUGAGGAAUUUUCCGCAAUGGGCGAAAGCCUGACGGAGCAAUGUCGCGUGAAGGAUGAAGGCCUAUGGGUUGUAAACUUCUUUUCUCAGAAAAGAAUUAUGACGGUAUCUGAGGAAUAAGCAUCGGCUAACUCUGUGCCAGCAGCCGCGGUAAGACAGAGGAUGCAAGCGUUAUCCGGAAUGAUUGGGCGUAAAGCAUCUGUAGGUUGUUUAAAAAGUAUUCUGUCAAAGAUUAGGGCUUAACCCUAGAUAGGCAGAAUAAACUUUUAAGCUAGAGUUUGGUAGAGGCAGAGGGAAUUCCCGGUGGAGCGGUGAAAUGCGUAGAUAUCGGGAGGAACACCAAAGGCGAAGGCACUCUGCUGGGCCAAUACUAACACUGAGAGACGAAAGCGAGGGGAGCAAAUGGGAUUAGAAACCCUAGUAGUCC
rnacentral:rRNA from 1 species